UAUUCUAAUGUGUUCGCUUGGUCCUAUCAAGAUAUGCCUGGUUUUGAUUCUAAGAUUGUGGAGCAUAGAUUGCCAAAGAAGCUAGAAUGCCCGCCGGUCAAGCAGAAGUUGAGGAGAACUCAUCCUGAUAUGGAAAUUAUAAUCAAAGAGGAAAUGCAUAAGCAAAUUGAUGCUAGUUUUCCUAUGAUCUCCGAAUAUCCGCAGUGGAUAGCCAAUAUUGUGCCUGUUACGAAGAAAGAUGGAAAAGUUUGUAUGUGUGUCGAUUACAGAGAUUUGAACAAAGCUAGUCCAAAAGAUGAGUUUCCUCUGCCACACAUUGAUAUGUUGGUAGACAAUACAGCUAAAUUCAAAGUCUUUUCAUUUAUGGAUGGAUUUUCCAGUUAUAAUCAAAUAAAGAUGGCACCUGAAGAUAUGGAGAAGACCACAUUCAAUAUGCCCUGGGGAACAUUCUAUUAUAGAGUAAUGCCUUUCGGUUUAAAGAAUGCUGGCGCAAUGUACCAAAGAGCUAUGACCACUCUUUUUCAUGACAUGACGCAUAAAGAGAUUAAAGUCUAUGUUGAUGAUAUGAUUGCCAAAUCAAGUAAUGAAGAAGAACAUGCUGAGCAUUUGUUGAAGUUAUUCUAGUGUUUGAGGAAGUACAAACUCCGCUUGAAUCCCAAUAAGUGUACUUUUGGUGUUCUUUCUAGUAAGUUGUUGGGCUUUAUUGUUAGUGAAAAGGGUAUUGAAGUUGAUCCUGCCAAGGUCAAAGCAAUACAAGAAAUGUCUGCGCCCAAAACUGAGAAGCAAGUCAGAGGUUUUCUCGGCCGUUUGAACUAUAUCUCAACAUUUAUAUCACAUAUGACUGCCACAUGUGCGCCUAUUUUCAAGAUUCUUCGGAAAGAUCAGUCUUGUGAUUGGACCGAAGAGUGCUAGAAAGCUUUUGACAAUAUCAAAGAGUAUCUGCUUGAGCCUCCGAUUCUGUCUCCGCCUGUUGAAGGAAGACCCUUGAUCAGGUAUUUGAUUGUGCUUGAUGAGAGUAUGGGUUGUGUUCUGGGUCAGCAAGACGAAACUGGAAAGAAAGAUUAUGCAAUUUACUACCUCAGUAAUAAAUUCACCGAUUGUGAUACUCAGUAUUCUAUGCUUGAAAAGACUUGUUGCGCAUUGGCUUGGACUGCUAAGCGUUUACGCCAAUAUAUGUUGAAUCAUACUACUUGGUUGAUAUCCAAAAUUGAUCCAAUCAAGUAUAUUUUUGAGAAGCCUGCUUUAACUGGGAUGAUUACCCGUUCGCAGAUGUUGUUAUCAGAGUAUGAUAUUGAAUACUGAUCUCAAAAAUAAAUUAAAGGUAGUGUCUUGGAUGACCAUCUGGCUCACCAACCGAUUUAAGAUUACCAGUCAGUACAAUAUGAUUAUCCUGAUGAAGAGAUCUUAUACUUAAAGAUGAAAGAUUGUGAUGAAUCAUUGCUUGAAGAAGGGCCAGAACCUGGUUCCCGUUGGGGCAUGGUAUUUGAUGGAGUUGUUAAUCAAUAUGGGAAUGGCAUUGGGGAAGUGAUCAUUACUCCUCAAGGCACUCAUUUUCUUUUUACAGCUUGAUUGACUUUCAAGUGUACAAAUAACAUGGCUGAGUAUGAAGCUUGCAUUAUGGGGCUCGAAGAGGCCAUUGAUCUCAGAAUCAAGUAUCUUGACGUCUAUGGAGAUUCAGCUUUGGUUGUGAAUCAAAUCAAAGGUGAAUGGGAGACGAAUCAACCCGGUUUGAUACCAAUAAAGAUUAUGCUAGAAGGAUUUCAACUUUCUUUACAAAGGUUGAGUUUCAUCAUAUCCCUCGAGAUGAAAACCGGAUGGCAAACGCUCUUGCAACAUUAGCUUUAUGAUUAUGGUGAAAUUCUGGAAUGAAGUUCCCAAUUUGACUGUGAUGUGUCUUGAUAGGCCAGCUCAUGUGUUUGAUGUUGAAGAGGUCAAAGAUGAAAAGCCAUGGUAUUUUGAUAUCAAGUGUUUCCUCCAAAGACAGAGUUACCCGUCUAGGGAAUCAUUAAAAGAUAAGAAGACUUUGAGAAGAUUAGCUGACAACUUCUACCUAAAUGGUGAUGUGCUUUACAAGAGAAACUUCGAUAUGGUUUUGCUCAGAUGCGUGAAUAGACACGAAGCAGACUUGUUGAUGACUGAAGUCCAUGAAGGUUCCUUUGGUACUCACUCCAAUGGACAUUCUAUGGAAAAGAAGAUGUUAAGAGCAGGUUACUAUUGGCUGACAAUGGAAUCUGACUGUUGUAAGUUUGUGAAGAAAUGCCACAAGUGUCAAAUUUAUGCAGAUAAGAUUCAUGUUCCUCCGACACUGUUGAAUGUCCUUUCCUCUCCAUAGACCUUCUCCAUGUGGGGAAUUGAUAUGAUUGGUAUGAUUGAGCCCAAAGCUUCGAACGGACAUUGUUUUAUUUUGGUGGCUAUCGACUACUUCACAAAGUGGGUUGAAGCGACAUCGUAUGCAAAUGUAACCAAACAAGUUGUUGUGAGGUUUCUCAAGAAUCAGGUUAUAUGCCGCUAUGGUGUGCCAAGUAAGAUUAUUACUGAUAAUGGAUUGAACAUGAAUAAUAAUAUGGUGGAAGCUCUUUGCAAAGACUUCAAGAUUGCACAUAAUAAUUCUUCUCCCUACAGACUUAAGAUGAAUGAGGCUGUUGAAGCUACAAACAAGAACAUUAAGAAGAUCAUCCAGAAGAUGGUGGUAACCUACAAAGAUUGGAUUGAGAUGCUCCCAUUUGCUUUGCAUGGGUAUUGUACAUCCAUCCGCACUUCAACAGGGGAAACCCCUUUAUCUCUAGUUUAUGGAAUAGAAUAUGUGCUCCCCGUAGAGGUUGAGAUCCCAUCAUUGCGUGUCUUGAUGGAAGCCAAAUUGACAGAAGAUGAAUGGUGUCAGACCAAAUAUGAUCAGCUGAAUUUGAUCGAAGAAAAGAGGUUGACUACCAUGUGUCAUGGUCAGUUAUAUUAGUAGAGAAUGAAGAAAGCUUUUGAUAAGAAGGUCAGGCCUCGUGUGUUUGGAGAAGGUGACCUUGUGCUCAAGAAGAUUUUAUCUUUCAAACCAGAUGCUAAGGGAAAAUGGACUCCUAAUUAUGAAGGCUCGUAUGUUGUGAAGAGAGCCUUUUCAGGCGGUGCUUUGAUUCUUACAACUAUGGAUGGUGAAGAGUUCACUCGUCCUGUGAACGGCGAUGUAGUCAAGAAAUACUUCGCCUAAAAUAAAAAGAACAAGUCGCUAAGUUGAAAACCCGAAAGGGAGGCUUAGGCAAAAAUUCGCGUUUCAGUGGAUUGAAAAUCCGAAAGGGCGAUCCAUGCAAAAAUUAGAGAAAUAAAAUAGAAGAUUCUUCCCAAUAGAUUGGCUACCCCGCCUUGGGGAAAUCUAUGCAAAAAUUAGGGAUUAUGGAAAGUAACUGCAUUCGGUUGUUCCCCAGUCAUGGGAGCAGUUUUGAGUAAGUCGUUUGGUUCUGAUUCAUUAUUCUCAACCAAAACCAAGAGCGCAAGGGAUAUUGAAGUUGGUAGAAGGAUUAGUGAUCAUUGUGUUCAAUGUAGCCCUUUUUCCAUGUAAAUUACCGUUUUCAACUUUUGUAAAGAUCUAUGGAGUCUUGUCAUUUACAGACUACCAUUCUAUUAAAUAAAGUUGGGCUUUUUAUCCAAUUGUUUCUACUCUUAUUUAUUUCAGCUAAAUAAAAUUGAAUUUUUAUGAUGAUAAUUUUGAAACAAGUUAAUAAAUAAAAAUCAUUUUUCUUAAAAUAUUAAAAUAAUUACUUUAAAAAGCAAUCAAUUUCAGUAAGGAAUAUCAACAACAAUCUAAGAACAUGUGAGUUCUAAAAUGCGAAACAUUGUUGGUCUUCCCAAGCGGUUGGUUUGGUAAAAUUUUCCUCCCCAACAUUAAGUUAGGGUUCCCCAACUGAGUUCAGGGGUCACUGCUGCAGUUGAUUGAUAGGCUCACAUAUCCAACAGUUUGCCUGGACAGAGGCUUGUCUCCUUUAGUCCCAGGCGGAGUUCAUUCCUAAUUCCUCUCAGAGUUGACAAUUUGGAUCCUCGGCAGAUCUUUUUCUCCUUCCCCAGCCAGGGUUGGGAUAUUUAGAGCCGGAUGAUUUGCAUUCAUCCCUAGCACGUUUCUCCAGUUGGUGUUUCCAUCUUUUUGAGUUUAGCCGAGUGUUGUAGCGAUGAUUCAAAUCUGUGAUAUUUGUAUCCUUUGCGAUAGUUUUGUCAGCAUAAUCAUCAAUCAUAUACAUACAUAUUCAUGCAUAAAGCACAACAACAAAUAUUUCAUUAUGCAUUUUCUAUUGCAUUUGAUUCCUUAUUUUUUAUCCCCUGCUAUGGUGACAUUAUUUUUGUGUGCAGAUUUGGUGCGUCUAUCCUUUUUCAAUUGUAGAGUGUCAUCCCCUUAGGCAUAAAAAGUUUAACCUUUCGGAUUCCUCACAGAGUUAUUUCCUCGUUGAUGAUUAUUAUUUCAGUUUCCUCCUCAGUUAAUUAUCUAGAUAGAACCACUCCCCUUGAGUUACAUCGUCAUCAGGUUGAGUCUUUGAUUGACUGUUUCUUUCUAGCUUUUACCUACAUAGAUACUUUCGCCCCCCCAAGAGUCUAUUGCCUAGUAACUGGUAAUAUUCUUUUCGAUUUAUGAGUACUUUUACCCAAUACCCGGUAAGAGUGAUAUACUUCCUAUAUUUUUCCCAGCAGGAUUCGUUUUCACGUUUCCCCAGGUAGUUUAUCCUUGAUAUGUUCAUCCUAACCGGUGACAGAUAUUCUCCCUUUGUGGUUUUCUACCCAAUAAAAAGGUAGUUGUAAUCCCUAUUUCAUUCCCCAAUGAGUUAAUCCUUGAUCUGUUCAUCUUAACUGAUGACGGAUUUUCUCCUCUUUGCGGUUUUCUGCCCAGUAACCGGUAGAUGUAAAUCCUGCUUUCCCCUGCUGAGUCUAUCCUUGAUAGGUUCAUCCUAACUGGUGACAGAUAUUCUCUUUUUGGUAUUCUAUCCAGUAAUCGAUGGAUAUAAUUCCUACUUUUUCAGGCAGUCUAACCGGUAACGAAUAUUCUUCCCAUCUACCCAGGUGGUCUAUCCUUGAUAUGUUCAUCAUAAUCGAUGACGAAUAUUCUUCCUCUGAGUCUAUCCUUGAUAUGUUCACUUUAACCGGUGACGGAUAUUCUCUCUUUGGUCUUCUGCCCAGUAACCGGUAGUUAUAAAUCCUAUUUGAUAUUUUCCAUAGUAGGUUAUUCUUACCCAGUAACCAGUAAUGAAUACACCUCCUUUUUCCUCAGCGGGUCAUCCUUGAUAUGUUUACCCUAAGCCAUAACGGACGCCUCUCUGUCAGAGUAUAUUAUUUUAUUACCCAGUAACCGGUAUUAGAUAAUAUACUUUUGAUACUCCUGCAUUGAAGUUCAUUCUUCCCCAAUUGAGUUUGAGUGCGUCUUUCCUCAGUGAAGUUGCCAAUUCCCUAUUUGGUUCAAGCAUAUCAGUUUAUUCUGAUUUACCUGUUUCCCCUGCAGGUUUUCCCUUAUCCCCGACCUUGUCUUUCCAUUGAUUUAUAUUCAUGGAAUUCCCUCGUUGUCUUCAGCAAUUUUCAAGUUGUAGUCUGGCCUACGUGCAACAGUUUAUCCCAAGAGUCUUUAUCUCCCAAAUGAGCUUUUCGUUAUGGAAUGCAUUAUACUCCAGUGGACUUUCAGUCUCUCCGGAUUCUUUUCCUUUGUGGCAAUUUAUUCCCCACGAAGAUUAUUUUUAACAUUUCAUAUCAUAUGCAUCAUGAGGUCUCUUAGGGACCAAAAUUAGUUUCUAGAUGUUGUUAUUUAAGUCCAUUCUACUGAGUUGAUACAAAUAUUUUAACCAUUACAUCCUUAGUUAGAAUGUCCUUAAAUAGGGGCAGCUGUAAGACCCCAAUUUUGACCCUAAGAUCCCUCAUGCUAUCUCAUCAUAUGCAUUAGCUUUGGGAUCACACCUUGGCAUCCUCCUUACCCCUCAUCCAUUGGGAUUGCAUUGGGAGAGGUCACCAAGCACAUUUGAUUGUAUGAUACUUUAUUUUUCAUUAUUUACUAACCAAAAUACCAAAAAAUAUGUCAAUGUAUAGUUUGUUACUUUUGUAGGUAGUGUGUGUGUGUUCACCCAUGCUUCAUCAAGCUCACAACUAGGGUUUGAGACCCUCAAUGCAAGGAGAUCAAUCAAGAUAUGGUUUACAUUAGCUCUAUACAUAAAAUAUGGAUCCCCAUGGUCUUCACAUAUCAUUUUUAUCAAGAAAUCAUCAAGAGUUUGAAGCUUGUUUUCCUUGGAAGCCCUAAUUCAUUUGGGUAUCUUGUGUGACUUCCUCGGUAAGUUUCUUCAUCAUUUGAUCAAAUUUUUCAAGGUAUACUUAAUAUUACAUUAUCUUACACAUAUGUGAUCCUCCAUGAGUCCCAAAUAUCAAGAGAAUGUCAAGCUAGCAAGAUGGUACAUGGUGGUUGACCAGAGAAAGUCAACUAGUCAAAACUAGGGUUCCCUAGACCCUAUCUCCUACAAUUUUUGUCAUAUGAAAAUGAUUCCAAGAUAAACGUUACUCACAAUGACAUUCCAAACAACUUUCAUGUUGAAGCCUAGAGCUAGUUUUGCUUUGAUAGUCAUUUCGUAUGGUGAAAAAUUAUAUGUCAUUUUGUCUGAACCCUAGUUAGGAGGUCAACUUCCCAAGACCAUAACUUGCUCAAUUUUUAGGAGAUGAAAGACAUUAAAGUUCCAUAAUCACAUUCAAGAUUUCAGCUUCAACUUUUAUGUUUGUAAUAAGUUCAAAUUCAACUUGAAAAUUCAUGGUCCAAGAGGAAACAUUAUAGGUCAUUUUGUGCCAUUACCAUUGAAUAAGUGAUUUUCCUCAACUUCUAAAAUGCAUAACCCCUUCAUGCCAAAUCCAAAUGAGGUCAGAUUCGUGACCAUAUUGAACAAGUUUGAAAUAGAUACAACUUUUAUGAAGGAAGUGUUUCCAUUUGAAGUCCAUAGUAAAAGUUAUUCAAGGUGUAAGAAGUAAACAUUUGACUUGGUACUUAGAAAAUAUUCAUUUAUGUUUGAUUUUCCAAACAUCCACCUCAAAAUUCAUAAUGAUCCAAGCUUCAAAUGGAAAAAUUUUCAACAUGAAAGUGUUUCCCCUUGAUCUCACAUUUACAAAAAGUCUAAGAUCAUCUCAUUUGGAUCAAUAUUGAAGGACUUGCACAUGGGUGCAAUACAUGGUACCAUUUGAAGGAUUCUCAUGUUCAAUUCCAUUUCAACAUUGCAUGGCUUAAUGCAUUGCUUUUACAAUCACAUGUGCACGAUUUUGGACCUAUUCCAAUCAUUUUUUGGGCUUUGUACACACCCAUGUAAGCUUGCAUGAUGCGUUUGCUAUUUUUGGAUCUUUAUUGGAAGUGUGCAAAGAGCAUUUGAUUUGGCUAUAAAUAGAAGUGAUAUGAGCUCAGAACUUCGUCAACACCUUGCCCAAGCUUUGCUAGAACAAUACAAGCCCUUCAUUCCAUAGAAUUCUUGAAGAUUUCAAUUGAAAUCGAGUUUGAAUUUCACCUUCUGUUAUGAAUUCAAACUCUUAGAAUUCAUUGCCAUUUUCAUUUCAAUGAUCACUACAAGCAAGAGGAAGAGGAAUCAAGCAAAUCCAGAUCGAGAUCAAGUGAAUUUGAAGCAACUCGAAGGUGAAAUUUCAAAAACUUCAUCUCUUCGAUUCUCUCUCAAUUAUCCACUAUUCUUUUUUAUUUUUGGUUUACUGAAGUCAUACCAAUGUAGGCAACAAGAUUGUGUUUCUUUGAGGUCAAAUCAAAGCAACUCAGUUCAUGAUCCUCAAAAUUCAAAUCCCUAUAUCUUUUUAUAUACUUGGAAUUGGAUAAAAUUGAGGCCAGAUUUGAGCUCCUGAGCAUUUUUUCUUUGAAUCCAUAUCCUUGUUUUUUAUUUUGGUGAUGGUGGAUGGUGGACCAGUCCAGUGAAGUCCACCGGAGAAGAAGACUGGAGCCCUAGCUCAUGUGGUGUGUUGUCACGCCUCAUAGCCAUCAGAUAUUGUUUAAAUGUUCUAAUCAUGGCCGCUCCUUGUGAUUACCAUCCCUAUGAGGCGUUGACUGAGGUGUAUGGUGUGAAGCGCACGCUUGGCCAUCAGAUAUGCCACCUCAAUUAAUGAUGGAGAUCUGAUGGCCCUUGUUUUUUUAUAUUUUCUGAUUUUUCAUUUAAUUGAUUUAUUUUGUUUAAUUCAUAUUAAUUUCAUAUUUAAUCUAAAAAAUAUGUGACUUUCACCAAAAAUAUUUAAAUAUUUUCCUCUUUCAUUUUCUGAAUUAAAAUUAUUUUUUGGAUUCAUUUUGAUAUUUUUCAUGAAUUAAAUAUUUUUGUGCAUAUUUUUAAUUGUUUAAAAAUACUUCUGACUUUUGAAAAAUUGUGAAUUUUUUUGUCUAAGGUUCUUUUGACCAAAUUAAAUUGAAUUUUAAUGCAUUUUUAAUUUGAUUUUUAAUUGAUUAAUUGUGUAAAGAUUAUGUUGAGCCAUUUUUAUGGUCUUGUGAUAUCUCACUAUUUGUUUGGGUCUUGGUCAAGGUUGAUUUGCCUUCUAUUGGAUUAAAAUCAUUGGAUUUAGGGGAUUGAUGAAAUGUACAUUUCAUGUCCAAAAAUGAAUGAAUGAUUUUAAUUUGGUAAAAUUCCUCCCAUGACUAAUGUAUGUUUCUCUUAUUUCCCCUCCCCUUUCAUAUUCAUUCCCAUUCUUUCCCCUUCCUUUCAUUGACCAAUGAAAUCUCAAUAUCCUAAGGCUAAUUGGUUCAUCAAUGACUUUGUGUCAGAUGAACCAAUACAAGUAUGGAUGAGAUACGUCCAUCCCUUUUAAUAUUUUCUUUUAGUGUGUGGUAUGUUUUAGGAGUUUGGUCCAUUAUACCAAAUCUCUAACAUGCAUUAUCACAUAAAUCUUUAUUUCCCGACCUCAGAUAGUUGUGACUUCUACAUAAGUUCAAUUACGAUUGCUUAACAUAGAGUUAAAUUUGUCCCUAAAGGCAUAACAUUCAAGUAAGUGGGAUUGUAAGUCUUCUAUCUUUCAUGGUAUUGUGUGGAAACUUGGCCUUUUUCCCUCCAUUGGAAGAUGUCUUGGUUCAAGCAUCCAGGCUUGUGAAUAGAUGGUUGAGUGUUCUCCAAAGAAUGACUUAACCAAUUGAAAAGCAAAACACUACUAACACUUAAUUAACUUUGACUAACAUUUGACUAACUUUUAUUAAUAUUUCUUUACUUUCAAGUCAUUUACUUUAUGCAAUUUAAUUUCAAGUCAUUUACCAUUCAUUGUCAUUUACAUAUCAUUUAACUUGUUUAUGUUUAUGCCAUUUUCACUUUGCUCAUUGGAGCCAUAUAUUGUGAUUGUAUAUAUUUGUUUGUGUAUUUUGUUUGUGUUUAUGGUAUUAGGACCUUAAAAUACCUAAUAAACAACAAAAACCCUAAAAAAAUGUUUGUAUGGACUGUUGGGUUUGACCUGAACUUUUGGACUUGGGAUUAGGCAACAUUCCAUAUGCAAAAGGACUUGGCCAAUGCCAACAUUUUGAGACCAAGUUAUUGUGAGUUGAGCUUUAAUCUGAUGCAAGUAUUGGGAUCCACUUGAACUUAUCUUCUACAUGGUCUUGAUGCAACUAUUAUUUUGAUCUUGUGUCUAAUCCUUUAUUCUGAGUUAAUCAAGGAGUAUUUCAUCUGAUACAUGAGAAGACAAAAAAGACUGCUAGUUAUGGAGUUGCUUGCUUGGAUGUGGAUAUUUUUAUUUAAUGCCUUGAUCUUCAUGAUGUCUGAUAUUUCUAAUUGCUUGUUGAUUACUGCUUGAUUCAAAGUCCAAAAGGAAAGUGGGUUUUCUAUAUGACAUUCUUGUCUGUUGGAUUGCAUCCCAUUUGGUCAUAUCUUUUCAACUCUGCACUUUUAAUUUUAUGCUUAGGAUUAGUCUCUUCAUCUCCUCCCACUUCUUAAAUUUCAAAUCUCCCCCCUAUUCAAAAUCUUCUUUGUUUGUGAUUUCAAACUUUGACCUUAUUUCAAUUAGAAACUUUGGCCUUAUGCCAUCAAAUUUUCAAAUUCUCUUCUUAAAUCACACCUGCAAAUAAAUCUAAUCAUGUUUACUUAAAAUUUCAAAAGACAAAAAGAACUAACACCCAUUCAAACUUUUGGGCCCUUUGUGCCUCUCUUAACUUAAAUUUUGAUUAAAAGCAAUCCAUUCAUUUUGAAGUUGAUACCACAAACUACGAGGUUUUGAUCCCUCAUUUUUAUGUUGGUACGUAGGUACAAGUCUGAAGCUCUUGUCAAACACAAAAAUAUCAUUAAUGAAUUCUUUUCCCAUUCCCACACUCUAUCUUUCUCAAACAUCUUUUAUACCAAACACACACACACACACAUAAGAAGGGCUCCCUAGGAGUACCUAGGACACUUUGGGUGCUAACACUUUCCCUCUGUGUAACCAACCCCCUUACCUGUAAUAUCUGGCAUUUUAUUAGUUUUUAUUUGAAAACUUCUUAUCUUUGGGUUUUGUUCAUACUUUUCCCUUUUCUUUUGGAAACAAUAAAAGCUUGGUGGCGAAUUUGGUUUUACUGAUGUUAAGCUUAUCCAUAACUUGAUGGUCAUGAAUUGACCACUACAACAUCUUUCUUACUUUUGGAUAUAAGAGAAUCCCCAACAUUAGCAUCUAGCAUCAACUUUGGUUGUUGUUGAAGUUCAUUCUUGAAGAUGUGUAUUUGCGUGAGUUCGUUAAAACCGUGGUUUAGACAUCGUCUCAACAUGGACUUGUACCUUUCUCAUGUUUCACAGAGAAUUUCUAUUAUACCUUGGGAAAACAACGUGAUGAUUGUCUUAACUUCCAUGAAUUUGUUAUGUGGAAAGAAUUUGUUCAAGAAAUUUUCCUCCAACAAGUUCUAGUUUGUCAUUGUCGAUGUGGGUUGAUCUAGAUACCACUCUGUUUCUUUGCUAAUCAUAGAAUAUGGAAAAAAUCUUAGGAAUACCACACCUUCUUCAUUUUAUGGGGCUUCUAGCUUUCCAACAAUUUUGUAGAAUUUUGUGAGGUGUGUAUAUGGACCUUCCCGAUCUAAACAUGCAAAAGAGUUAGUAUACAUAAUUUUCAAUAAUCCCAUUUCAUUUUACUUUUUCAAAUAUUCCUUUGUGUUCUAUCGAGAUGAGCUAGACAUUUGGGACUAUGUUGACAUGAUGUGACAUCAUUUUUGUUUCCAUUGUUGUUGGUGUUAUUGUCUCCUUCAACCAUGGUUUUUUAUGUUAAGACAAAAGACUCAUUUAGAUCCAUCCUUUCUCCUCUUUGUUUAUUUUUCCCAUUUUUACUGAGGUUUUUGCGUGUGGUUCUUUCAAUUUCAGGAUUUAAUAAGAAUUAUUAUGUAGGAACCUUACCUUGCAUCAAUUAUUAAAGACCAUUUGAUUUUAAAUGUUAAUGGGUUAGGUUUAUAAACAAAAUAUACAUUUCUGAACAAUUAUACACGGAUAUAAAUAAUACUUAAAGUAAUAAAAACCAUGUUAUAUCUUCAAAACUAGCACUAGUCCCCGAUAAUAACACCAUUUUUGUUACAUUCGUAGCAAAAAUAAGUUUUACAAUUAUCAUAUGCACAAAGACUAGUGGUUUCAAAUACCGUUCAACAAUUUUUAAUAUUUUAAGUAGAGAAAGGGUUGUGUAUUGAUUGUGAUGCAUGAAAAUUAAAUGACAUAAAAAUAAGUAACAGAAAGUAAAAUGAAGAUUUCAGUGUUAGCAAGAGAAAACUUGGUAUGGGUACAUUUGACAUUAAAUAUUAAUAUUACCACCUAUUAUUCUCAUCCGUAUCUCUUUUCAGUCUCAACACCGCGAGAUCAUUAUCUUCCCCAAUAGUCGAGCACUACUACAAAUAAUACAUUUCAUGAUAAAGCUUUCACCUCAUCCAACGAAAAUUCGAUGUCAAAUGACAUAAAGUAAUGUUAAGUUUCAUUCACUUUUUAAGCCCUAGAAAACAAAACACAAUUCUUCUCCACCUAACAAACUGAAACACCAUUCUCUCCACCUAACAAACUGAAACACCAUCUUCACCAAGGAGGAAGGAAGAUCGAACCUUAAAUUAACAUUUUUCUUGGACUCUCUCGCCAUGUUUCUGAUUUAGUAUAUAUUGUUGUUUAUUGUUAUUAUUGUUUAAUUUUGGAACGUUCAUUUUUAUUUUACUUUCAGAAGCUGUAUGUGAUUACGGAUCGUAGUUGGAUGAGAGCCAAUAGAUUACGUAAAAAGUAUGAGAAUGGAGUAACUCAAUUUAUUGAAUUUGCAGAAAAAAUCCUAACGAUGAUAUGAUAUUUUGGUGUCCUUGUAAAAUUUGCUGAAAUACUCAAAAAGAUCUAAGGGAUGUUAUAUUCAAUCAUUUAGGUUGUGAUGGAAUUAUCAAAAUUACACGAAAUGGGCAUGGCAUGGUGAAGUGACAAAAAAAAAGACCUAUGUCACAUAAAGUUGAAGAUGAGAAUUUAUGAAUGAUACUCUAGAAGAUAUGAUUCAUGAUAUUGGAGUCGAUGAUUUUAAGAAAGCUCAUGUGGAAGAUACUUUACAAAGAUACCUCGAAGAUUCGGUAUAUCCGGGAUGCAAAUUUUUUACAAGAUUGUCAAUUGUGCUAAAACUAUUUAAUCUUAAGGUAAGAGGUGGGUGGAGGGAUAAAAGUUUCAGUGAAUUGCUUGAAUUGUUGCAAGAAAUGCUUUCAGAAUGAAACAUGUUGUCAAACCGUAGUUAUGAGGCUAAGAAGAUAUAAUGUCCAAUGAGUUUUGACUAUGUCAAAAUACAUGCAUGUUAUAAUGAUUGCAUAUUAUAUAGAAAAGCGUAUGAAAACUUGAAGGAGUGCACGAGGUAUGGGGAGUCACUCUACAAGAAGAAGGACAAUAUUGUUGAAGAUGAUGAUGGUGUAACUAGAAAGGGUGUUCCUUCCAAGGUGAUAUGGUACCUAUUGAUAAUUCAUAGAUUCAAGAGACUGUUUUCUAAUGUAAAUGAUGAAAAUGAUACUAGAUGGAAUAUAUCUGGGUACAACUCCAUGGGAAAUAAAGUGUGUCCAAUAUGUGAAGAUGAUACAUGCUUCCACCAUUUAAAAAAUGGAAAAAGAUUAUUUACCUUGGGCAUCAAAAAUUUCUAAGACCUAAUCAUCCAUACCGUAAAUUGUGGAAGGCUUUUAAUGGAAAUUACGAGUUUAGUACCUCCAAAGCCCUUCAUCAGAGAAGGAAAUUUAUAAAAGACAACAACACAUUAAUUUUGUCUUUGGAAAGAAACGAAAAAAGGGCCUAUGGAGAAAAAUAUUUGGAAAAAGAGGUCGGUGUUCUUUGAUCUUCCAUAUUGGUCUAGCCUCGAUAUAAGAUAUUGUCUUGAUGUGAUGCAUGUGGAGAAAACACAUGUGAUAGUUUGCUUGGAACACUUUUAAACAUUAGAGGCAAGACAAAAGAUACAAAGAAAUCCUGUGAAGAUAUGGUGAUGAUGGGUAUAUAAAAAAGAGUUAGCCCCAAAAGAUAUAGAAACAAGAACAAAAUUGUGCCCAGCAUGUCACACUCUGUUUAAAUAAAUAAAAAGAGUUUUCGUGAUUAUUUGCAGGCUAUCAAAGUUCCCCAAGGGUACUCAUGAAAUGUUAAGAAACUUUUGUCAAUGAAUGAUCCCAAAUUAGUUGGCUUAAAAUCUCAUGAUUGUCAUGUCUUAAUGCAAUGACUUCUAUGAGUGACUAUCAAUGGCAUUCUACCAAAAAAUAUAUGGGUAACUAUAACUACAUUAUGCUUAUUCUUCAAUGCUACAUGUAGUAAAAUUGUUGAACCUAGAAAUUUAGAUGAGUUGGAUCAUGAGGUUGCCAUUAUUUCGUAUCAAUUAGAGAUGUUUUUCCCUCAAUCAUUUUUUGACAUUAUGGUUCACUUAAUUGUUCAUCUAGUAAGGGAGAUUAGAAUUUAUGGUCCAGUUUAUUUACGGCGGAUGUAUUCGGUAGAGCGAUACAUGAAGAUCUUUAAAGGAUAUACAAAGAAUCAUCACCGUAUAGAAGCUUCGAUUGUUGAACGGUGUCAUACCCCAAAAUUUGCCCUCCCCUUUUCACUUUUUCAUCUGACUUUUGAUAGUGAUUCAUAUGCAUCCUCUUAAUCAUAUAGCUCAUUAUUACAUUUCAUUUUUGAGCAUCAUGGAUUCAAAGUUUUGGCUAAGUUAUAAAUGACCAGGAAACCCUAAUUCUUGGUGCAAUUUGUAGAUGGCAUCAUGGAAUAUAUGAUUAUGAAAGGCAUUGUUAGGACUUGAUUUUUGGGAUCAUGCUCCUAUGAGGUGGCAUUUAUUGGUCAUUUCUUAGUUCGUAUUAUGGAACUCAUAUAAGUACAAGUUUCUCCCAGAAAUAAUUCAGUUUCAAGUGAUCAUUUGCUUAGUUUUGAAGAGAAUGUUUUGUUUCUUGGGAUUCAAGUUACAUACAUUCAUUCAAAAAAUCCAUUUUUCAUUGCAAAGUUAUCAAGGUUCAUUACACAAAAAAAUGUAAAUUUAACCUACAAUUGAAUUUGGUAAACUGUUGACUUUUUGGUCAACCAGUUAACCUUUCUAUCCCUAACCCUAGAUCCUACUUUUUCUUGCACAAUUCAUCACUUUUUAGGGCCUCAAGUUCUUCAAAGAUUCCUUUCAUCACUAACAUCAUGCUUCUCCAAAACCCACCCUAAGCAUGUCUUGCCAAAGCCAAUACCAAGAACAAAGUUCAUCCCUGCACGAAUAGAGAAAGCAUCAUAAUAAAUCAGCAAAAUCACACAUACAUACACAACUUGAAAAUCCUUCACACACAUUCCAUCCACAUUUUAAAAUAACAACAUUAUCUCUUUUCAAUUAACUCCAGGACCCUAAAACUAAUGGAUAUAAUCCACUAACCCUAAAACUAUCAGCAAUUAACUUUCUUUUUCUAUCUGUGAGGAGCUAAAUUCCAUGGAAACUAACAUUAACUAUCAUAUAAAUAAUUUCUGCAUAGAGCUCUAAUAGAACCAUCAGCUAAAAUUCACUAAUCCUCGUUAUUUUUUCACUCCAACCAACUCUAUUAACUCCAAGCCCCUAACAGAACUUAACAGAAAUAAUAACCAUAAACUAAAUUCAACAUAAAAACUAACAUUGUUACAACUUUCACCUAACUUUGAGCUAAGUCACUAUAAGCAACUAACUUUCAUAACAUAAUUCACAACUGAAAACUAACCUAACUAAUUGAUCUAAAAUAAAUAGUUAACAGAUCACCAACCCCUAACAAACUUGCAUUGUGAGAAGUUAACAAAACUUGACAAAGUUAACAUUCCAACCUCUAUAAAUCUCCAUUUCCAAUCAUUGAUCAAGUGCUUUUCAAUCCUCAUAUUCAUCUCAUCUAAAUAUCAUAAUCACUUCUUUCUCUCAACCUCUUCAUCAACCUCCCUCAAUCACAUUCACAUAGUCCACACUCUUCUCAGAACAUGAUCAUCACACUCAUCCUCUGAUUCCUAUUGAAUCCUCCCCCAUUGAAUCACUCUCAAUCCUCCCAAUCACUCUUCUCAAUUCCUCACGCACUCAACAACAUAAGCAGCAACAUAGUCACAAAUCCUACAGGCUAAAAAGUUAGUGAGAGAAGAAGAAUAUUAUCAAGCAACUGAAGUUGAAUUCUCACCAGUAUUGAAGAUCCCUCUGGUUUUCUUUUCUUCAUUUGCCUUCGUCCUCUUUGAAAUUCAACAAUUAUCGAGGAGAUUUUCUUCCUCAAAGGUAAGCACUUCUUCAACUUUUUCCCUAAUUCUGAUACCACCAUGUAUUUGAUAGCUUGAGGAAUCAAAGCCCUAACACGAGAAGCUUUGAUUCCUCCAUACGUGUGUUUAAUUUACGGUUUCAUUAGCUAUGAUUCAUUGUGUUUUUGCUUAGGUAUAAGUUUUAGGGUAAGCAUUGGGGAAAACUGAUGGAGGAUUUGGAUAGAGGGUGUUGAUACGGUUCUUUUGAAGGUAUAUUUCUUUGGAUUGACGAAGCUCCAACGCCGGAAGCGAUUUCCGGCGCGGUGCGGCGUUUCUCCUGUGAAAUGUAUGGAAGGAAGUUCACGUGAGGAGCCAUGUGUUGUGGAUUUGAAAUUUUAUUCCCUCCCUCAGGCUUCCAUAUCCGUUUGGGCCUAGAGUCUUGAUUUUGGCACAAACACUUACUACACUCUCACCUGUGCAUUCUCACAUGCACCCCCUAUUGCUCCACUUCAACAUGGAAUUUGGACUUCCCAAAGCCCAUUCAGUUUUGGUUACCACACUCUCUUUCUGGCCCAUGCGCUUCCCCUAGCAUUUUACUCACUUUUUUUAUUCUUUUGUGUGUUUUUUUUUCAUUUGUUUUGUAUUUUAAUUAAUUCAUCUUAGUGUUUUUUUCUCACAUUUUAUUUUUGAUAAACAAGUAGAAAGUUCGUGAUAGUAUUUAGUUUUUUAGGAUUUAAUUGUUUUUCCCAUUUAAAAUACCUUGAAGAAUAAUAAAAAUGGAUAAUACAGGUUAGCUAAUUAGUUUUUAAUUGAAUACUUUGAGUUUCGUCUUUUAAUCUUUAUUAGAUUUUAGGCCCCUUGACUUUACUAUUGAUUACAUCUUAUUGUGAAUGUAAAUGGUCACUUUGUAUGGGUGUAUGGUUUAUUCUGAUGUCUUGAAUGAUUCAUGUGUGCUUGUAUUAAUCUUCUUAAUUCUUGCAUGGUUUAUGAUCCAUCCCCCUAUUGUGGGUAAAAUGUUCCCAUUUCCCAUGAACAUGUAAUAGUGUAGAACUUACUCUUAUUUAUUGAUUUCCUUUGCAUAUGUUAACUAAUAAUAUAAAGCUAAAACGAUAAAAAAGAACUUUUUCUAAAAGAAUAAAAAAAACACUUGAUCCAACGUCAAGUGCUUUUCCAAAUCAAACUCCUUCGAAAGCAACAUGAGUGCUUGAUCCAAAGUCAAGUAUCUCUUCUUUUCCAUUCCAUUCUCACACUUCCAUCUCACUCUCACAAUUAUCACCUUCCAUUCUCAUACUCACAUUUCAAAAACUUCAAACACUGUAUUCAACAUCAAGUUAUUUUCAAAAUAUUUUCAAAAUAAUUUGGAAGAAAAAGGAUGGGGUGUACGUACUUUGACACAAUACUUAUCAAGUACUUGGGUUGUCGACCGUACCUAGCUUGUGUCACACUCUUUUGAUUUAAACAUACUUAUCCUAUGCAUCCAAUAACUCAAUCAUUGGUCCAAAGCAAUACCUUUUUUCACUUCACAGCUCUUUGUAGUGUAAACUCUUUUCUCGACUAAUGUAAUUAUUAACUCUUUCUUUUCUUUUUAUCACUUAAAUAUUUUCAAAACAAUUUUAUUUAUUUUCACAAAAGAGCCUUUAUAAUCCAUUCCUUAGCAGUUAGACUAAAAGCUUGGAGUAUCUGAACUAGGAUCAAUUCAGCUAAUGUCUACAUACUUCUAGGAUAUGAUUACAACUGUUCAAUAAAAUUAACCAACAAAUCCAUAUUAGUUCCAGGAACUAUGGAGCCCUGAUUUCCUUAUUGCACUAUGAUGAUAUGUAGGCAAGAGGCCCCCAAUCCUAAGUGAGCACACUAAUUCUUAAAUCUUUUUUCCCUUUAUCAUUUGCAAGUAAUAUUUAGAUAAUAACACCCAUUCAAGAAUAGAACAAACAAAAUGGUUCCCAUUGAGUACAACAGAUGUGAGGGAUGAUAAUACCUUCCCAUUUCAUAACCGACUUCAUUACCCAUUUCUUUACCCCUGGGUUUUAUCGAUAUUUUCCCUUUCCUUUGGAAAUAAAUAAAGUUCGACAGCGACUCUAUUAUAUCUUCGAGUGUGCAAUAUGCUCAGGUAUUUUUGCAGCGCGACAGCUAACGACUUUGAGCCGUUUACUAUCAUUUAUAGGAAGAAGCAAGUGGAGGUCCCUGUAAAGAAGAUUCAACCUAUAAAUAUUUGUAUCCUUGGGACUUUCCCUUAUUAGAGUACCAAGGAAGUGCCUUGGAGGUAUGAUACCACUACUUAUGUGGGCAGAAAAGUAAUACAAUUCUCUGAGGUCGAGAUCGUGAAUAUAGCUGGGACAACAGGGCAUGACCCGUAGUGGUCGUGUAUUUGCUCUUAAAUACACUAUGAAGGCAGAUUCGUCACCAACAAUUCCUCCCCCAAAGGAGAAUUUUGUUUCAACAACCCCUACUCAACAAAAGGGGGCAUCAACAUCAUCAACGUCCAUUCCCGCUACCACAAUUGUACCCACUAUUCCACCAGCAGCAAAGGACACUACAUGCAAGUCAGCAGAAGUUGUCGUUUCUAGAGGAAAAGAGGAAAUGAAUGAGCAAGAGGAGUUUGUGAAACAUAAGAAAGAGGUGUCUCCAAAAUAGGGACAACAACUCCUAAACUGGGGAAAACAUUGUCAAAGAUCUCGAUCUUAUCCCUGUUGUUGAGCUCUGAUGCUCAGAGAAAAGCUCUAGCAAAGGUCCCGAAAGUUAUGCAUGUGAUGCACGACAUUGUUGUUAAUCAAUUUGAUGAUGUAGUAGCGAACAUCACAACAAACUGAUAUUUGAGUUUUAAUGAAGUUGAGUUGCCUACUAAGGGAAUUGCCCAUAACAAAGCUCUUCACAUAUCUGUUACAUGCAUGGGAACCUUGUUGUCUCAAGUCUUGGUAGAUAUUGGUUCUUCGCUUAAUAUGAUGCAUAAGAAUACAUCAAAACAAUUGCUAGUGGAAGGGUCUGAGAUGAGGGUCAAUGCUUUGGCGGUGAGAGCCUUUGAUAGUUCUAGGAGACAAGUCAUUAGUGAGGCAGACCUACCUAUUCGUAUUGGACCAUAUUUGUUUACCUUUUUUUUCAAGUGAUGGACAUCAACCGAACAUACAACUUCUUGUUGGGAAGACCAUAUAUUCAUUCCGCUGGCGCAGUGACCUUUAUGUUGCACCAAAAACUAAAGUUCAUGUUCAAAGAUAAAUUGGUCAUUAUUUGUGGGGAAGAGGAUCUGCCUGUUAGUGAACUUUCAUCCUUCCGGUAUGUGGAGACUGAAGAAAACGUAGCUGAAAUCCCUCUUCAUUGUUUAUAAUUUGAAGAUGUUAGCUCUUCUACUUCAAAUCAAGACAGGACAACGGAUGUGGUUCUAUCGUCUUUGGAAAGCGCCAAGGAAACUCUGGAGAGAAGCACUCCUACUGGUUGGGGCCAAAUAAUCCAUAUUACUGAAAAGCAUGAUUGUUUUGGUAUUAGUUAACUUCCAUUUUCAGGCCUACCAGAUCCAAAGAGACAUAAGAAGUUCAACCCUGUCAGGUUCAACAGUGCGGGCUUUCAAAGCGAUCACACUGUGGCAGUUGUUGAGGGCACAUGCAGUUGUAAAAGAGAGGUUCCCAUUUUUGUAUGCAAGUUCCCACCCAACUUCAAGUUGAACAACUGAGCAACUUCCAUGGUCCCUAUGAUCAUUUCUUAAAAAAUGUAAUGCAUUUUUUCCCUAAUCCCUUGUCUUAUCCUGAGACAAGAGGAUAGCUUGUAAGAGCCUUCUUAUUUUUGAAACAUUAUGUGAUCAAUAAAUGAAAGUAUUGUUGCAACGAAAAUCGUGUUCCUUUCCUUUGUUUACCUUUUCACUAAAAUAAAUGGCAAAAGUUUCUUUUUGUUUUACACUUUUCAAAAAUCAUUCAAAAAUAAGCUCAUAAACAUGCAGAGAAAAUAAAUACAUUGGUAACAACGUGGCUAUUGUCUCUUGUAACUUUGGGCUUCCAAUUAACCAAUAUGAAGACGGCGGUGAGGAAGAUUGUGAAUUGACAACUGAACUAGUAAGGCUCCUUGAGCACGAGGAAAAAGAGAUUCAACCACACAAAGAGCCAGUAGAAAUUAUCAACCCGGGUAUUGAUGAAGCCAAGGAAGAAGUAAAAACAGGGAUAUCCCUUAAAGAGUAUAUGCGCACCGAGUUGGUUAAAUUGCUUCAAGAGUAUGUUGAAAUUUUUGCUUGGUCAUAUCAGUAUAUGCCUGGUUUAGACAGCAACGUUGACGAGCAUCAUUUUACACUUAAGCCCGAAUGUCCUUCGGUUAAGUAGAAGCUCAGAAGAACCAGACCUCGACAUGGCACUGAAAAUCAGGGAAGAGGUUAAGAAAUAGUUUGAUAAUGGCUUCUUAGCCAUUUAUGAAUAUCCUCAGUGGGUUUCUAACAUCACCUCAGUUCUGAAGAACGAUGGGAAGGUCAUAAUGUGUGUGGACUAUCGAGAUCUCAAUGAAGAGAGCCCAAAGGAUGAUUUUCCUUUGCCUCAUAUUGAUGUCUUGGUCGAUAACACUGCUCAGUUCUCCGUUUUUCAUUCAUGGAUGGUUUCUCGGGGUAUAUUCAAAUAAAGAUGUCUCCAAGUGAUAUGGAGAAAACAACUUUUAUCAUACCUUGGGGAACUUAUUACUACAAAGUCAUGUCGUUUGGUUUGAAGAAUGCAGGGGCAACGUAUCAGCGCACAAUGGUAACCCUCUUUCAUGAUAUGAUUCAUAAAUAGAUUGAGGUUUACGUGGAUGACGAUCACUUAGACCAUCUGAGGAAGUUAUUUACCAGACUCCAAAAGUUCAAGUUGUAGUUGAAUCCUGCAAAAUUCACAUUUGGGGUCCGAUAUGGUAAACUAUUGGGUUUCAUUGUUAGUCGGAAAGGCAUUGAAGUUGAUCUCGACAAAGUUCAAGCAAUUCAAGACAUGCCACCUCCCAAAACAAAAAAAGAAGUCAGAGGCUUCCUUGGUCGACUUAAUUACAUCUCAAGGUUCAUGUUGGUUCUAAGUGUUGGCAGCAAUUUUGGUAAAACAAAGAGUGUUCACAAGAUGUUGCAUGUGAUGUCUUAACAUAAGAUAUCUAUGUACCUGCUGGAGUUUUAAAACAUAAUUAUGCAGGAUUGUUUCAGGAUGUCAUACACGAUGUCAUGACAUCUGAUAUUAUGUACCUGGCUUGGAAUUCUAAAUGGAAUUAUGCAGGAUUGUUCCAGGAUGUCAGACCCGAUGUCAUGACAUCCUGUACACAGAACAUUCAGGGUGAAUGUUAUGUGUUAUGUGAUUGCGCAUUUAAUGGCAACCUAUGUAUGAUUGAAGAUCUGAUUUGCAGGCGCAUUCAAUCAUUAAUUACAACCUGAUUUACUUAUUUUCCAAGGAGAUCUAACUAGCUGUCAUGAGAAGAUUUAAUUGGAAAAUAGUUUUAGGAUUUUCAAGAUGUCCAAGCCCAGCUGAAUGCUUCUAUAAAUAGGAAAUGGAAAACCUGAUUUGAUACACAACCAAUACUGAGCGAAAUAUUGAGAGAGAAUAAGGGUUUGUGUCUUGUUUGGUCGUGAGACUUAUAAGCCAUUCAAUUCAUCCAUAGAUGAUUGAAUUGGUCUGAUUUGUGAGUUGUAAUUUGUCACUCUAAGCUUAUAAGCAAGAGUGUGUGUCUACUUGAUCGAAGCUGUUAAGCAAGAUCAAGUCUGUGUCUACUUGAUUAAAGUUGUUAAGAAAAAUCAAGUGUGUGUCUACUUGAUUGAAAGUGCUAAGUAAGAUCAAGUGUGUGUUUUGGAAAGUGUCUUCUUUUCACAAGGAAUUGUUGUUUUAAAAUCACAGGUGUGAUUGAGGGGGAGUGAGUGGGUUCUCAUAUCUAAGAGUGCUUAGGUAGAAAUCACACGGGUAGAGAUUAGGUGAGAAAGACUGUAACUUGUUGAAGUGUACUGAGAGUCUAUAUAUAUAUAUAUAUAUAUGUCAAAAAAUACAAGUGUGCGUGUUUCCCUUGCAAUGGAAGACAGGCUCAGAGGCCUUAUUAAGUUUAUAACAUGUUGGUUCUAAGUGUUGGCAGCAAUUUUGGUAAAAACAAAGAGUGUUCACAAGAUGUUGCAUGUGAUGUAUUAACAUAAGAUAUCUAUGUACCUGCUGGAGUUUAAAAACAUAAUUAUGCAGGAUUGUUUCAGGAUGUCAUACACGAUGUCAUGACAUUUGAUAUUAUGUACCUGCUGGAAAUUAUAAAUCGAAUUAUGCAGGAUUGUUCCAGGAUGUCAGACUCGAUGUCAUGACAUCCUGUACACAAACAUUCAGGGUGAAUGUUAUGUGUUAUGUGAUUGUGCAUUUAAUGGCAAUCUAUGUAUGAUUGAAGAUCUGAUUUGCAGGCGCAUUCAAUCAUUAAUUACAACCUGAUUUACUUAUUUUUCAAAGAGAUCUAAUCAGCUAUCAUGAGAAGAUUUAAUUAGAAAAUAGUGUUAGGGUUUUCAAGAUGUCCAAGCCCAACUGAAAGCUUCUAUAAAAAGGGACUUGGAAAACCUGAUUUGAUACACAACCAAUACUAAGCGAAAUAUUGAGAGAAUAUAAGGUUUUGUGUCUUGUUUAGUCCUGAGACUUGUAAGCCAUUCAAUUCAUCCAUAGAUGAUUGAAUUGGUCUGAUUUGUGGGUUGUAAAUUUGUCACUCUAAGCUUGUAAGCAAGAGUGUGUGUCUACUUGAUCAAAGCUGUUAAGCAAGAUCAAGUGUGUGUCUACUUGAUUGAAACUGCUAAGUAAAAUCAAGUGUGUGUAAUUGAAGAAUGUCUUCUUUUCACAAGGAAUUGUUGCUUUAAAUCACAGGUGUGAUUGAGGGGGAGUGAGUGGGUUCUCAUAUCUAAGAGUGCUUAGGUAGAAAUCACACGGGUAGAGAUUAGGUGAGAAAGACUGUAACUUGUUGAAGUGUACUGAGAGUCUUUGAAUUGAUUCUAUUUAGGAUGUAACUUGUUAACCCAGACGUUGGUGAGUUGCACCGAACUGGGUUAACAAUUUCUUGUGUCUUUUGCAUUACUAUUCUUUAUCUUUAUCAUGUUUGUUUUAGUCAGAUAUUAGUGUCGUGACAUUACCUUCGACAUCUCAUAUCUGAUACCAGAAUUUCAGUUCAUCUCUCAUUUGACGGUUACAUGUGAACCAAUUUUCAAAUUAUUGAGAAAUAAUCCAUCGAUCGUGUGGAAUAAUGAUUCUCAAGAGGCAUUUGACAUAAUAAAAAGUACUUGCAAGAACCACUGAUCUUAAUGUCACUUGUUCCUGGUAGGCCACUAAUCAUGUAUCUCAUUGUGCUAGAUGAAUCUGUGGGUUGUGUAUUGGGUCAACACAAUGACCCAGACAGAAAAGAACAUGUCAUUUACUACUUGAGCAAUAAGUUUACUAAGUAUGACACCAAAUACUCACUCUUGGAGAAAACUUAUUGUGCUCUAGGUUGGGUUUCUCGACGCCUGAGACAAUAUAUGGUUUUCCACACUACUUUGUUGAUAUCCAAAAUGGAUCUAAUAAGGUAUAUAUUUGAGAAGCUUGUUGUCACUAGAAGAAUGGCUCGGUGGCAAAUGCUACUGACAAAGUAUGAUAUCCAGUAUGUUACCCGUAAAGCUAUCAAGGGGAAUGUGAAUCUGACUACCUUAUUCAUAAACCUUUGGAGGGUUAUCAACCGAUGAGGUUUGACUUUCCGGAUGAUGAUAUCAUGUUUAUUAGAGAUUGUAAUAUUCCAGGCCCUGACAAAGGACCCGAACUAGGGGUACGAAGGACGCUCGUGUUUGACGGUGCUUCCAAUGCUCAAGGUCGUGGAAUUGGGGCAAUUAUUACUUCUCCAACUGGACUUCACCUUCCAUUCACUGCUACAUUAUGAUUUGAUUGCACCAAUAACAUGCCAUAAUAUGAGGCAUGUGUCUACGGAAUCGAAGUGACCAUUGAUCUAAGAAUUAAAAUCCUCGACGAGUAUGGAGAUUUCGCUUUUGAUCAUUCAGGUCAAAGGAGAUUGGGAAACUCGGGAUAGAAAGUUAAUUCCUUACAAAGAGGAUAUCAUGAAUUCCCUAUUUUGAUGGGGUCACUUUUCAUCAUAUCCUUAGGGACCAAAAUCAGCUAGCCGAUGCUUUCGCCACCCUGGCAUCCAUGUUCAAAGUCAAGUGGAGAAAUAAAGCACCCGUUAUUCACAUUAACCACUUGGAUGAACCAACACAUUGUCUAGAAAUUGAGGCAGAAACUGACGAUAAGAAGGCUCUAACGAGGCUAUAUGCCAAUUUUUUCUUGAAUGGGGAUGUGUUGUACAAGAAGAAUUAUGAUUUUGUUUUUCUCAGAUGCUUUGAUAGAUACGAAGCAAACACCAUCAUAAAAUCCAUACAUGAGGGUUGUGAAUGAGUCAAUGCUAAAAAGCCUGCCAUGGCCAAAAAGAUCCUUCGAGCUAGCUACUACUGGAAAAUAAUAGAGGUUGAUUGUUACAACUUUGUCAAAAGAUGUCACAAGUGCCAAAUAAAUGGUGACAAGAUCCAUGUGCCACCAACUCCAUUAAACGUCUUGACUUCUCCUUGGCCCUUCUCUAUGUGAGGUAUUGAUAUGAUUGGAAUGAUCGAGCCGAAAGCUUCCAACGGUUAUCGCUUCAUUUUGAUUUCUAUAGAUUACUUCACCAAAUGGGUCAAAGCUGCUUCAUAUGCAAAUGUCACACGACAAGUGGUUACCAAAUUUAUUAAGAAAGAGAUAAUCUAUCGCUAUGGUGUUCCUAGUAAGAUUAUCACUCGCAAUCCCAGUAACCUCAACAAUAAGAUGAUCAGAGAGUUGUGCCAAGAAUUCAAGAUCGAGCACCACAACUCUUCACCCUAUCGGCCCAAGAUGAAUGGCAUUGUAGAAGCAGCAAACAAAAACAUCAAGAAAAUUGUCCAGAAGAUGGUCAGGACUUAUAAGGAUUGACAUGAAAUGCUUGCUUUUACUCUGCAUGGCUACAAAACUUCAAUUUGUACUUCUACUAGGGAAAAUGCAUUCUCACUUGUAUAUGGUAUGGAGGUUGUCUUAUCGAUUGAGGUUGAAAUUCCUUCGUUAAGGGUUAUCAUGGAAGUUGACCUUGAUGAAGCUAAAUGGGUUUAAUCCAGAUACGAUCAACUGAAUAUCAUUAAAGAAAAGCAUUUGAUGUUCGUUUGCCAUGGUCAGCUAUACUAGAGACACCUCAAAAAAGCUUUUGAUAAGAAGGUUAUCCCUCGAGUGUGCCAUGAAGUUGAACUCGUGCUCAAGAAGUACUCUUCUAUACACUCGAAUCCACGAGGCAACUCGACUACAACCUAUGAAGGACCCUUUAUUGUCAAGAAGGCCUUCUUAGCCGAAGCCCUGAUUCUCACCACCAUGGAUGGGGAGGAGUUGUCACUGCCAAUGAACUCUGAUGCAGUCAAAAAAUAUUAUACCUAGAAAAAUUAUGAAUAAAAAUCCUACUAUAUUGACAUCCGCAAGGACAAUAUAGGAAAAAAGGGUAUCCCGAUUGUCAUACCCCAAUUUUGUCUGGGCAUAUUUAAAUUUUCAUAGAAUUGAUUUCAUUUUUAUUUUGCAUCCUAUGCAUAGCAUGACAUACAUUUCAUCACAAGAAUACCUCACCUUAGUUUCAUAUCACUAUUGUAUCAUUUCUGUACUACAUACAUUUCAUCACAAGAAUACCUCACCUUAGUUUCAUAUCACUAUUGUAUCAUUUCUGUACUACCUAGAAACAUGCAUUUCAUGAUUUCAAUUUCGUCCGAAAGUAUGAUUUAUUACACGAAUACGAGGAAAAGGACAUAAUGAAAGGAUACUAUCUAAGUUGGAAUACUAGUUUGGAUCAAAGUCAUGGGUGAGUCUUGUCAUACAAGCAUCAUGUCGAUGAACCCGUAAGCUUAGCCAUGAACUUGGUUUGUUACAAGCUAGACUCGUUCGUAUAUCAGAUGGACCAUAAUAACACUACAUCUUGUGGAGAACAAUUCUUGCAUUAAAUUUGCAUCUUUCUCACCUUAGUAAAUCAAGGUCAACAAGCAAGUGGUGAAUGACUUAAGAUGAAUUCAUGGGUUGUCAUUUAUAAUCGUCAUUUUGGGUUGUGAAUGGAGAGGUUUCAUCAGGAUAGAGUUUUAGGUGUGAAGAAGAAGACAAAAAAUGAAGAGCGAAUGUAAGGUCAUGGUUGUUUUGAUGAAGUGAGUUAGGUUUUCAUGUAUAUGAGGCAAUGUUAUUUGGUGCAUCAGACCUGCUAUGGUCCGGUUGUGCAGAAACUAAUUCCAUGCUUGCUUAUAUACAUUGGCUUAUUUGGAAAGAAUUGAACAAAAAUGGAUUAAAUGGAGUUAUUCAGACCAAUUGUGUUUGAAACAUGUUCAGCCCCUUCACAGAGUGAUGGAUCAAGAAUUGAAUGUGAGAAUUGGAAUAGAUUGGCAGGUUCUAUUGAUAAAGGCAUAAAUUUACAAUUGUAUUGAUAAACUUUGGUUUACAAAAGUCCUAGCCUAUGAUCUAAGGACAUGCUGGCAUUACAAGAGAAAUUAUUCAAGCAUUGGAAUAGCAUAGCAGCUAAACAAUACAACUCAUUGCACUCUCUUCUUCAAGUAAUUCCAAGAAUUUACGAGACAUGUCCCGAUAAGCAUACCGCAACCUGCACAAUCCAAAAGCCUAUCACAUAAGUGAAAGAAAAGCCAAGAACACUACAAUCAUCAUGAAUGGAGCGGAGCAUACACCUAGACUGAACCUACAGUUGAAGACAAAGCUUAAAAAUGUACAUGGUUAUUACAAUCUCAUGGUAUUCAAACCUGAUUUUCCUGCAACAACAGAGUUGUGUUUCGAAUUCACGAGCCACAGCGAUUCGGCCACCAUGUCGUACUUUGCUUUGUCCAGCAGGCACAAACCUGCAUAAUUAGAAGAUCGCAUCACACGAACCACAGUGAGAAAUGCUAGAACCAGCACAUAAGUGUGUUGUCUGAGCUCCUUUACCUAAUUAAACAAGAAUUGGUAAACUUUACAGUGAGUGCUACAAUGGUUGACAAAACAAAGCCAAAACCAGACUCAUCGGCACAUUACAAAUGUAAGUCGAUUACAUUGUCGUUGGGACAAUACAUAUCACCUCAUUAAAACGAAAGCUAAGACUACAAAGUACAUGUACCUGCAUCACAAGUUUUCACAAGAUUACAAAGUACAUCAGUGAAAAGCAAAGCCAGCGAGGUUGAAUCAAAUUCAUAACAGCUCAAACGGCUAUAGAGUUAAAUAUCAUCACCAUCCAAGUCAUAGACUUGCAGCAUAAUCCAGGCUACAUCACCACCCAAGCCAUGACAUUCACCUGCAAUCAACUCACAAAACCAUGAGAACCGUGACUCGUAAUCACAUAGGAAGAAGGUGAGGCCUACGUAAGGGCCAAGACAUAACGAGUGUCGCAAGCUUCCGUAAUAAAGUUUAAGAUGAACAUACCAUGAUUUAGAAAACCUGGUCUAUAAACAAAGACCUGCCACAAGAUUGCAGCACAAGACCUGCAGCCUACACAUAGAAAUAUUGCUCAGGAUCCCACCUUUCACUCAUGACAUACCUGUUACAACAGAAAUGGAGAAAUCAACAUAACUUGAGCUGUUUAUUCCAAAAACACAAGACCAAACAUAAAAAAAAACAUGAAUAUGCAAGUUACCUUAAAUAAGUCCCAAAACCCCUGUUUAAGGUUGGAUCUAGAGUAAGCCUCAAGGACGAUUGUUGCAUGACAUUUGAUUACGGUGUGCUUAAGGUUGAAUCCAUGCGGAUAUUUCUCCAGGACCAUUCUCAUUCAUUCUAAACCCCACAAGUCACUUGCCAAUCCAAGGUUACAACUUAAGCGAUGACAUUUGAUUACGGUGUGCUUAAGGUUGAAUCCAUGCGGAUAUUUCUCCAGGACCAUUCUCAUUCAUUCUAAACCCCACAAGUCACUUGCCAAUCCAAGGUUACAACUUAAGCGCGCCAUACUCUAAGCAUACGAUUGAAAAAAACCUGCGAAAAAUUCAAGAAUUACAUGACAGUAAAAGCAAAGUUCUUACCGUGACAUGUAGAUCUUUCACGGCAGUGAAUAAGAAACUCAAAAUAAACAACGUGCUUGAGAGAUUUUGCUACAGACAAACCUUAAACCUUAAUACCUUCAUUUUGGGGACCACGUCAAAAGGGAGGACCACCAAAUCUGGACGAGAUUCUUUUGGCUAACGGAUUGAUUCAACAAACUUCUGCCAGCUCAUGAUUUGAAGACCUCAUUUCACUCUAUAAAAGCAGGAUCUAGUCGAUUGAAAAAGAGGAUACCGUCAUUCUGUGGAAAUCCCAAACGAACCUUACACUGAAAAGCUCCGCUAAAAUUUUGUAUUUCAGCUCUGAUUUUCACAUUGAAAAUCAGGGUUUGAAGAGCUUGACCCCAUCAAUCAUAUGCAAACAACAAUGACGAACAAGCGAGUACGAAAGAAGGGAUACAUACCUGAAAUCGUCACCACUGCCGGAGCUUCGCCGGAUUUCCAAAGUUCCUGAGAAACCUCGUCGCCUUCGCUUUAGGAUCCAUGUGAGCUCCCUUUCGCGGUUCCGAAAUUAAUGUAGAAUCAAGAGUUUGCAUCUCCGUUAGGACUCAUCGGUAUGGAUUUUUUUAUUUGUGUAUCCUAAGUUCAUUUGAUUUUGUCUGCUGUGAGAUUGUUUUCCAUUUGGUGAUAUUCAUAAAGUUUUUUUUUCGUGUUUUGUUUGGUCUUUAAGAGGAGGAUAUCGUUUCUUCUGCUGGUUCCAGUUUACCAGAGGAAAUUUCCUUUAAAAACUUCCACUUUUUAAUAAUAUUUUUAAAAUGAAAUUAAUGGUCAUAAGUAAGUGUGUUCCCAAGGUUGUCAUCUGUGUGUUUUCCCAGAUUCAUGCAUGCCUUCUUGGGCUUACCGUCCGCGUCAUUCCCACGCAUCGUACUAUUAGAAAGGCCAAAGACCACUUGGGAAUAUGCAUCAAAGGCAGCUGUACAGCUGCCUGCUGUUCCGCUGAUGAGCGAACACGGAUGGUUUCAGGCUUAAGGCCCAUUCCAACUGUUUACAUUUUCUAUUCAUUUGCUGAUAUAAAAAUGAUUGUUGGGCUUUAGGGCCCAUUGUAGGUCCUUGCUGUUUUGAGCCCUUUCUUGUUUUUUUAUGGUUUGGUUUUUUGGGGCUUUACCCCUUUAUUACUAAUACACCCGAUUUAUCGUGACUCACUUGUGUUUAUCUUUUAAAACCUCGAUUAGAAUAUUUGAACAAUUAUAAUAGUAAUAGUGUAGUAAAAGUUAUUUUAAUAUAAAUUCGACCUAUAUUUGGUUCAGUGUAUUCAUUCAUUCUUAUCACAAUAUUAUACUUAAAUAAUUAACUAGGGGUCCAUUAAAAUUGAUAAAUAAAUAAGUUUUGAAUCCAAUCUUGGUCUAAAACCAUGUCUCCCCAUUAGAGACCCGAUUGGUUAUAGCGAAUUCAAAUCCCAAAUCUUUUUAAUCAAUAGAUCCUUAAAACAUUUAAUUUUGAAUGAAAAGGAGAAUAGUAAGCCUCCGCUUCACUAUCUCUCGACUAUUCGAAUAAUUGGCGUACGUCAUAUUGCUCGGAUUUUCGUCAUUUAAUUAAAACCUUAAAAAAACUCUAUAAAAUUAAAAUCAUUUUCCCAAUUUAAUUAUUCUAAAAGUCUCUAUUUUAAAUAAUUAAUCUUUAAAUGAAAAGGAGAUUAAUGAGCAUCCGCUCCAUUAUCUCUCGAUUUUUCGAAUAAUUGGCGUACGCCAUAUUGCUCGAAUUUUUGUCAUUUAAUUAAACCCUAAACUCCAUAAAAUUAAAAUUACUCUCUCAAUUAAUUAUAAAUUCUAAAAGCUUUAUUUUUUUUUUUUCUAAUUAAUAAUUAAUCUUUGAAUGAAAAGGAGAAUAGUGAGCAUCCGCUUCAUUAUCUCUCGAUUAUUUGAAUAAUUGGCGUACGCCACAUUGCUCGAAUCUUCGUCAUCAAAUUAAAACACAAUGGAAUAAAUUCAAACUAUCUUCGCAAAUCAAAUGCAAUAUCCAAACAUAUCUUUUACAAUUUAAACCUCGGAUGACAAAAGAUGGGAGGCGGUCGCCUCGCCAUCUCUCGAUUAUUUGAAUAAUUGGCGUACGCCAUAUUGCACAAAUUAUCGACUUCCGAUUAAUACACUUUAACUAAACUUGGAUAAAGGAAUAAGUGGCGCACGCCUCAUUAUUCUUUGAAUAAGCAAGUAGGAGGCGUACGCCUUACUACUGUGCGUAUUCAGCAUCCACAAAUAACUUUCAAAACAAUCGAACGAAAAAGGAGUAGAAGGCGUUCGCCUUAUUAUUCCUCGAAAGAAUUGAAUGAUUGGUGUACACCACAUUGCUCAAUCUUUCGUCGUUCUUCAAAACACCUUAAACAAAUCAAAUUAAUGUCUCGCUCCCGUGCGACCGACAACUUAAGAAUUCUUUUCAAAAGAACACUGUUAGUCCUUUCUAAUGCGCACCAUAAACCAAUGCUUAAGCCUCCGCCGAGAGUAGACAAGCCAGCGUUUAGCCUUUAGGACGCGAUCUACACAGUCGUUCAUUAAAAGACACCAACAAAAACCGUAGUUCCCCGAACUACGAAUGCUCUGAUUUCCUUAUGGCACCAUAAGGAUACGUACGCAGGAGAUUGAUGUAUCUUCGCGAGCACACUAAUAAAAAACCUCCCCUUUCCCCUUCUGAGGUCUUCAUCCAUCUCUAUUAUCAACUCUAAUUACUCGAAGAAAGCAAAUAACGUUUAACUAACAUUCAAAUAGAAAAUUAGCCUAAAAGGUUCCCGUUGAGUACAACGGACGUGAGGGGUGCUAAUACCUUCCCCUUGCGUAAUCGACUCCCGAACCCGAAAAUAGUUGCGACGACCAUUAUUCUAUUUUCUAAAAGGUUUUAUCGAUAUUUUCCUAUUCCUUCAUUGGGAUAAAUAAAGUUCGAUGGCGACUUUGUUCAACAUAAUUUUUCUGCGACCAUCGCGAGGAAUCGUAUUUUUCAAGAUGCGACACCGAUGGACCAAAAAAAUAGAAAUGUCCAUGCAAAAGUUAGGGAUCUAAAGCCCGCUAAGUUCAAAACCUAAAAGUGAGACUUAGGCAAAAUGGGUAUCCCGGAGGACAAAAAAAGGAAAGGAAAUGUCCAGGAAAAAUUAGGGAAAAAGGCAUUUGACAGCAACUCUUGAGCCUACUUCAUCACAUGAAGUAUUCCUCUUUAUUGCAAGUUCUUUGGUACAUAUAUCGACAAGUCGAAGUUUACCCUACACUAGAAGAGUCUUACCCUUGUGGAUACCAUUCAUCUAUUACACACAAAAACCCACAUUGCUACAUAGAAUACACAACUUCAUGCAUCAUCAAAUAUCAAACAUACAUUGCAUAUAUCAUGCAUAUCAAACGCUUUCUCUUUGUGACUGAUCUAUUUCCCCAAUAGAAUAUUUCAGUUAAUCCCAGAAUAUGACCUCACACGCAAAGGCUUCUCCUAAAUUCCAUAUCCCCAAUGAAAAAAUUCCCAUCAAUACACUUACCUUCCCUUUAAUAGUUCUCUACCCUUAACAGCCAAAUCUUUGGAUAUUCUUGUAUUUAAUCUUCUUCUACCUUGAAUUCCCAAAAAAUAUUUGCCAUCCGUACAUUCAGGUCCAAGAUAAUUAAAUAGAGGCAACUGUCAUACCCCAAAAUUUGCCCUCCCUUUUUCACUUUUUCAUAUGACUUUUGAUAGUGAUUCAUUCGCAUUUUAUUAAUAAUAUAGGUCAUUAUUACAUUUCAUUUUUGAGCAUCAUGGAUUCAAAGUUUUGGCUAAGUUAUAACUGACCAGGAAACCCUAAUUCUUGGUGCAAUCUUUAGAUGGAAUAAUGGAAUAGAUGAUUAUGAAAGGAAUUGUUAAGACUUGAGUUUUUGGAUCAUGCUCCUAUUAGGUGAAAUUUAUUGAUCAUUUAUUGGUUCGUAUUAUGGCACUCAUACAAAGGCAGGUUUCUUCCAAAAAUAAUUUAGUUUAAAGUAAUCAAUUGCUCGGUUUUGAAGAGAACACUUUGUUACUUAGGAUUCAAGUUACAUACAUUCAUUCAAAAAUCCAUUUUCAUUACAAAGUUAUCAAGGUUCAUUACACAAAUCCAGAUCAUUACACACAAAAAAUGUACCGUUGACCUACAGUUGACUUUGGUCAACUGUUGACUUUUUGGUCAUCUAGUUAACCUAAGUCAAUUUUCUACCUCUAACCCUAAAUCAUAUUUUUCAUGCACAAGUCAUCUAUUUGUGGUGCCUCAAGUUCUUCAAAGCUCCCCUUCAUCAUUAACAUCAUGCUUAGCCAAAACCAACCCUAAGCAAGUCUUGCCAAAGCCAAUACCAAGCACAAAGUUCAGCCCUGCACCAAUAGAGAAAUCAUCAUCAAUAUUUGUGUCCAAAGAGAAACCAUUGAGAUGUUUACUAUCAUUUAUAGGAAGAAGCAAGUGGAGGUCCCUAUAAAGCAGAUUCAAUCUAUCAAUAUUUGCGUCCCUGGGACUUUCCCUUAUCAGAGUACAAAGGAAGUGCCUCGGAGGUAUGAUACCAUUGCGUAUGUGGGUGGAAAAGCAAUACAAUUCGCUAAGGUUGAGAUCUUGAAUAUAGCUGGGACAUGGGGCAUGACCCGUAGUGGUCGUGUAUUUGCUUCUAAAUACACUUCGAAGGAAGUUUCGUCACCAACAGUUCCUCCCCCAAAGGAGAAGUUUGUUUCAACAACCCCUACUUAGAAAAAGGGGGUAUCAACAUCAUCAACAUCCAUUCCUGCUAGCACAAUUGUGCCCACUAUUCCACCUUCAACAAAUGACACCCAAGCAAGUCAGCAGAAGUUGUCAUUUUCAUAGGCAAAGAGGCAUCACGAGCAGACUGUGAAGCAUAAGAAAGAGGUGCCUCAAGAAGAGGGAAAAGAGUUCCUUAAAUUGAUAAAAAAAAUGCCUUUAAAGUUGUGGAUCAACUUGGGAAAACAUCAUCAAAGAUCUCGAUCUUAUCCCUGUUGCUGAGCUCUAGAUACACUAAUUAUUAAACAUGUUUUCCCCUUUAUCAUUUGCAAGUAAUCUUUAGAUGAUAACACUCAUUUGAGCAUACAACAAACAAAUGGUUCUUGUUGAGUACAACGGAUGUGAGGGAUGCUAAUACCUUCCCCUUGCAUAACCGACUUUCUUACCCAUUUCUCUUCCCUAAGUUUUAUUGAUAUUUUCCCUUUCCUUCAAGAAUAAAUAAAGUUCGGCAGAGACUUUGUUGUAUCUUCAAGUGUGCAAUGCGUUCAGGUAUUUUUUCCAGCGCGACAAACGGUACAUCGCAGAAGAAGCUAUUAACUUUUGUACAAACUAGUUAUCAGAAGCAAACCUUAUAGGAAUUCCCAAGUCUCAUCAUGAUGAAAGAUAUGAUGGUAGAGUUAUUCAAGGUUUAAAUGUCAAGACAUUUGACCAAGAUGUAGUUCUUCAAGCGCAUUUAUAUAUUGAAUAAAGUUAGUAAAGUUCAACCUUACUAGACCAUUCACAAAAGUCUUAUUAAGGAAAAUUUCCCACUGUGUGAGUGAAAAAAUGUUGUUGACAGACCAUAACAAAACUUUCAUGACUUGGUUUAAUGAAAGGGUUUUUUAAGAGAGUAGUGUAUCAGAGACAAUUAAACGGAUGUCACAUAUGCCUAACUUUAAUGUAAUAACCUGGAGUGCAUACGACAUUAAUAAAUAUUCAUUCUAUACAAAAUCAAAGGAUGAUCGUAGUACCAUGCAAAAUAGUGGGGUUAUGGUUGAAGUUGGAUCCAUGUACUUCUCUAGUUCAAAAGAUAAUAAUCAUGUACUAGCAUCUAGAUCAUAUUGUGGGGUCAUUGAGGAUAUUAUGGAGAUUGCUUAUGUUACUUUUAAAGUGAUUGUGUAAGUGGAUUGACAAUAACACUAGUGUAGAAACCGAUGAAUUAGUAUUCACACUAGUUGAUCAUCGAAAGGCGACUUAUAUGAAUGAGUCAUUCAUCAUGGAAUCCCAAUAAAAAAUAAAUAUUCAUUCUACACAAAAUCAAAGGAUGAUCAUAGUACCAUGAAAAAUAGUGGGGUUAUGGUUGAAUUUGGAUCCAUGUACCUCUAUAGUUCAAAAGAUAAGAAUCAUGUGCUAGCAUCUAGAUCGUACUUUGGGGUCAUUGAUGAGAUUAUGGAGAUUGGUUAUGUUACUUCUAAAGUGCCUUUAUUUAAGUGCAAGUGGAUUAACAAUAACGCUGGUGUUGAAAUCGAUGAAUUAGGAUUCACACUAGUUGAUCAUCGAAAGGCGACUUAUAUGAACGAUCCAUUCAUCAUGGCAUCCCAGGCAAACCAAGAUUUUUAUGUCCAUGGUCCUUCUAACACAAGAUGGUCACUAUAUUCUUUAUAGUAAUGAAAAUAAUGAUUUAAAUUUUCAUACCCCCUCUUUCGCAACACAUGUACGUCUCUCGUCUAAAGAAAAUAAUUUUGAUGAUGAUGUGCAUGUCAUUCGUCAUGAUCAUCAAGAGUGGAUAUGGGAAAACUGGUAAGUAAAUGCUUUAUAUCACUUAGUAAUAUAUAUUUACUAAUUUAUCUUUUUAUAUUCUUUUAACUAAAGAUGUAAUGUUGUUGUUUAAUGAUCUUAAUUGGUUUCAAAUGUGGCUCAAAUUAUAGGUUCUUAACGAACAGUGAUAAAUCACAAAAGAGAACUUUUUGACGGUGUCAGACCUCGGAAAAAAUGAGAACUCGACUUAGCGAAGUGAAAUCGCACGCUUGCGGGAUGGACUAAAUAGAGUCGUCACCGAACUUUAUUUAUUCCUAAGAAGGAAAUGGGAAACAUCGAUAAAACCCAAGAAAGAAUGACAAUGAUAUUGGUCGUUGUAACCAAAUCAGGGUUCGGGAGUCGAUUAUGCAAGAGGAAGGUAUUAGCACCCCUCUCUUCCGUUUUACUCAACGGGAACCAUUAGGUUAGUUGUGUGCGUUAGUGUUAGCUUAGAAAUGUUAAGCGUCUUGAGUUAUUGAGAAGGAAAGAAAGAAUAUGAACAAAAGAAGAGAGAAAAGGUUUUUGGAUUUUUUAUUAAUGUGAGAAGAAAGGAACUAAACCUAAAUUAUUUAUUAAGGGGCCUGAAAAGAUUUACAAAUCCUACUCCUACGUAUCUCCAGGUGCAAUAGAGAACACAAGGCUUACGUAGUUAUGAGUAGAAAAUGUUUGUUUGUUGGUCGAUUUUAGUGAAAGCUGCUUUGUGUCAAUCGACGAAAAUAUUAUUGGCUACCUAAAACAAGUGGAGAAGGGAAUGUUUGUAUCACAACCGAAUGGAUUUAUAAAUCAACAUUCAUGGGAAACGUUCCAAGCUUGCUCACAUGUUCAAGAGGAUGAAACAUUGUUUUUGCAUCGUCUUGAGACAAACUACCUUUCGUUUGAGAAAAGGGUUUGAGGAUCAAUCGCACGGCGGCGAGAAAAGAAAUUGGUUAGUUUGAAUGUGUUUUGAGUAAUGGCGAGAACUUGGAUGGGAGAGAUAUCCAUCUCAAAUCCUAGCCUCAAGAGCUUGUGGCAUCCACCAUGUUCCGUUUCCAUCUUAUUUUCAAAAGUAUUUGAUAUUUCUUAGAUGUUUUGAGCUUUGAUUAAGAAGAGGUUUGAAGAAACCGCAUUGACAGUUUUGAAUGAUGGCGAGAGUUAAGAUGGGCGAGAUAUCAAUCUCGAAUCUUAGUCCUAGGAGCUCGUGGUAUCCGCCUCGUUCCAGUUCCAUCUUUAUUAAAAGUGUUUGAUAAGCAUUAAUUAAUUUUGAGUUUUAUUAUGAAAAUGGCUUGACCUUGGAUCAAGCAUUUGAUGAACGAUUGUAAAACCGUUUGAAAGGAAUGGUUUGAGAAAUUUGGAAUGGAUUAAAAUAAAAGGUUAGAAAUGAUUGGAUUGUUAUUGAGAAAAUACUCGACAUUGGAUCGAGUUUUUAUUUUUGUUCUUUUUGAGAAAUGGUUGAUUUUAUUCUUGUGUUAGAACUAGCUAAACAAACAAACAAAGAAAUAAAGCGAUAAAAAUUCUUACACGUCAUGGGAAUGGAGGUACAUUUUGUUGAAUAGGGAUAUGAGAUAAUGAUUCAAUUAAAUCCAAACCCAAUCAAACAAACACAAGUAAAAUAAGUGCACGUGCACAAGAAAAUGACUUCAUUGUAAUAAGGCCCAAGAGUAAGCCAUGUGAAGGAGAUAUCAACACACAAGUUAUAUGUACAACAUACAUUCAUGAUAAUUAAAUCGAAAGGAGUAAAAUUGAAGCAUGCACGAAUUAAAACCAUGAUACAAGGAUGCGAAUCAAUGUCACAUAAUGCAUAUACGUGCAAGGAAAAAUGUAAAUUGAGAAGUGCAAGCCAAACCCUAGAUAAUAUGCUCAAAGUCGGUUUGUGUGUAUUGACAACAAAAGAGGUGUCCUAUGCAAAGGGUCAUAACACGGCAAAACACAAUCAAUGUAUCGAUAAAAAAUCGGCGGUAUAACGACAUGGGAAAUGUCGAAUCGACGGAUUAAAUUUCGACGUUUAGAAAUGAAAUGUCUCAAACAAAAUGGAACAAAAAUCUACAAGUAUCACAUUUUAUUAAUCAUUAAAAUUGUGUAAUUACAAUGAAUUGGAAUAAAAUAAUGGAAAAAAUAAAUACAAGAAAUAAAAUUGUAAAUGAAUCCAAUAGCAAGAAAUAAAUGCUACAAAAGUUAUAAAAAAGAGACAAUUUAAAUUGAUUAAAAAAAUGCAAAAGAAAUAAGACAAAUGAUAGAAAAAAUGGAAAAAAAGUGGAUAAAAGCAACAAAGUAAAAAAUGGUAGCAACAAGGGUUGAACCCAAGUCAUGAUGGUUAAAAGGCAUGAGUCUCACCCACUCCAUCAUGACCUUCAAACUACUAAACUAAUGACCACGAUAAUAUAUAUAAGAAAAAAACAUUUCAAAAAUAGGAAAUAAAAUCACAAAAAUAAUAGAAACGGGGCACAAGGAAUCGAACACGGGACAUGAGGGCGAGAGGCAUGAGCCUCAACCACACCCUCAUGUCCC
rnacentral:lncRNA from 1 species